rnacentral:tRNA from 1 species
GUUUAAAUAGUUUAAAUAAAAUGCUGGUUUGUGGUACCAGGGAUAUGAUAAAAUUUCAUUUUAAACC